rnacentral:rRNA from 1 species
UACGUAGGGUGCAAGCGUUGUCCGGAAUUAUUGGGCGUAAAGAGCUCGUAGGCGGUUUGUCGCGUCGGCUGUGAAAACUCGGGGCUCAACCCCGAGCCUGCAGUCGAUACGGGCAGACUAGAGUGCUGUAGGGGAGACUGGAAUUCCUGGUGUAGCGGUGAAAUGCGCAGAUAUCAGGAAGAACACCAACGGCGAAGGCAGCUCGCUAGGACGGUACUGACGCUGAGACGCGAAAGCGUGGGGAGCGAACAGG